rnacentral:rRNA from 1 species
GAUGAACGCUGGCGGCGUGGAUAAGGCAUGCAGGUCAAACGGCUCUUUUUAGCAAUAUUAAGAGUAGUGGCAAACGAGGUAGUAACACGUAGGUAUUUCCCCCGAAGUCUGGAAUAAUUCGCCGAAAGGCAAACUAAUACUAGAUAGUCUCUAAGGAGUAAAGAAGCAAUUCGCUUUGGGAAAAGCCUGCGGGAUAUCAGCUAGUUGGUAGGGUAAAAGCCUACCAAGGCUAUGACGUCUAGGGGAGGUGAGAGCCUGGCCCCCCACCGAUGGAACUGAGACACGGUCCAUACACCUACGGGUGGCCGCAGUCGAGAAUCUUCCGCAAUGGGCGAAAGCCUGACGGAGCGACGCCGCGUGGUUGAUGAAGUCCUUUCGGGACGUAAAAACCUUUUUAUGUGGGAGAAAGUCAUUGAUAGUACCACAUGAAUAAGGGGUU